rnacentral:rRNA from 1 species
GGUUAAGCGACUAAGCGUACACGGUGGAUGCCCUGGCAGUCAGAGGCGAUGAAGGACGUGCUAAUCUGCGAUAAGCGUCGGUGAGGUGAUAUGAACCGUUAUAACCGGCGAUUUCCGAAUGGGGAAACCCAGUGUGUUUCGACACACUAUCAUUAACUGAAUCCAUAGGUUAAUGAGGCGAACCGGGGGAACUGAAACAUCUAAGUACCCCGAGGAAAAGAAAUCAACCGAGAUUCCCCCAGUAGCGGCGAGCGAACGGGGAGGAGCCCAGAGCCUGAAUCAGUGUGUGUGUUAGUGGAAGCGUCUGGAAAGGCGCGCGAUACAGGGUGACAGCCCCGUACACAAAAAUGCACAUAUUGUGAGCUCGAUGAGUAGGGCGGGACACGUGGUAUCCUGUCUGAAUAUGGGGGGACCAUCCUCCAAGGCUAAAUACUCCUGACUGACCGAUAGUGAACCAGUACCGUGAGGGAAAGGCGAAAAGAACCCCGGCGAGGGGAGUGAAAAAGAACCUGAAACCGUGUACGUACAAGCAGUGGGAGCCUCUUAAUGGGGUGACUGCGUACCUUUUGUAUAAUGGGUCAGCGACUUAUAUUCUGUAGCAAGGUUAACCGAAUAGGGGAGCCGAAGGGAAACCGAGUCUUAACUGGGCGUUAAG